GUUCAGAUUGCAGGCUGCAACUCGCCUGCAUGAAGUCGGAAUUGCUAGUAAUCGUGGAUCAGCAUGCCACGGUGAAUACGUUCCCGGGCCUUGUACACACCGCCCGUCACACCAUGGGAGUCGGUAACACCCGAAGCCUGUAGUCUAACCGCAAGGAGGACGCAGUCGAAGGUGGGAUUGAUGACUGGGGUGAAGUCGUAACAAGGUAUC
rnacentral:rRNA from 1 species